UACAGAGGGGGCAAGCGUUGUUCGGAAUUACUGGGCGUAAAGGGCGCGUAGGCGGCCUUCUAAGUCGAACGUGAAAUCCCCGGGCUCAACCCUCGAAUGCCGGUGGAUACUGUCGGGCUAGAGUACGGAAGAGGCGAGUGGAAUUCCUGGUGUAGCGGUGAAAUGCGCAGAUAUCAGGAGGAACACCUAUUGCGAAGGCAGCUCGCUGGGACGUAACUGACGCUGAGACGCGAAAGCGUGGGGAGCAAACAGG
rnacentral:rRNA from 1 species